GGGGGUGACUUUGGAUUUGAUAGAAGGAACUCGUGAAUAUUGAUUGCCACUGCUUGAUGAUUCUAUAGCAUAAGAUGAAUCAACCAAAAAAUGCAAACGCAUGAAAAUCUCUCCUUGCGAGAGCUAAUCUUGUAAAAGCUUACGCUUAGUAGAUUAGUAUCAACCUUUGCGUCUGACUCCUCCUAUGCGUGAAGGUGAAUUAAGGAGGAACUCUAUAGUUGUCUGAGUAUAUAAGAAAUUGAGUUUGUUACUUUUCUUUUCUUCCUCUCUCAGAUAACUCAAAAAAGCUGAGUUAAAAAGUGACUAUUGUGGUAGACAUUGGUAUUUAUGCCUUUUAGACCGGAGUUCAAUUCUCCGCACCUCCAAAA
rnacentral:tmRNA from 1 species